CUUGCCAUUACUCAGCCACUUAGCUGCCUAGCUAGCUAGUGCUAAUGUGGCAAUAACGUGACGAUAAACAACUGGUGGGAUUUUACAGAAACCGCUUCUUAAUGGUGUAGCUUUGUCCAAAUAAUGCUUGGUUUUGACGGGAAGAUAACUUAGUGAAAAUGAAGGCGUUUGUCUGCGCUGUGGCACAUGGCACAGCAGCUGCUAGGCUAGCUAACAUGAGCAGGAUGCUGACAUUUAACUCUACAACUACUUACGGUUAGCUAUCUCGGCUCCCAUCUUGUACUUGGUUACCACCAAGUCGUCGGCGACGGUCUGCUCCUCGGUUUCUUCAUCACCAGACAUGUUGGCAGUAUAUCCGAAUAACUUUCUCCAAUCCUAGCCGGUGACAGUGAGCGUCAGGAUGAACCACGCCGCUCUCUGUCGUCGCCCGCCAGGGCUUCAGCAGCUAGCCUACAACCACGAGGCCCCGCCUAUUGACAAAGAUGCACAGUCAAUGGUGUCUUCUGGCUCUGCUGCAGAUGUUUCAUGUCUCUCCUGUGCCAGCUCCUCUUCCUCUUUGGAGUCAGAGCGUCUGAUAUCCAUGUAUUCAUACCUGACUUUUACCUGUGGGAGCUGCACGCAGUCUUCCAAAGCCUGGAUCUGCUCUAGGUAAAAGAGUCUUGACAAUUGGAGAGGGCAACGGUGAGGUUCUAUGAGCCACCAACGGGGCAUCAUUCAGUGAGGAGACAUCCCUUGUUGAAGGAGUGCCAGGUGACCCAGGAAGGACGUAACCAUAGUGGUCCACCUCCUCCUCCUCCUCCUCUCCUGCCGUCCACACCUUGUACGAGGAUGGACUUGAUGCUGUUGAGAGCUUCCUGUGUCGGUUGAUGGAUAAACGGGGAGGACCUCUUUCAGAGCCAAGCCGAACCCUGUGAGGAGCACCUGCAGUCCUUAGGCCUUCCUCACGCAGCUCUGCCUCCAUACCACUCCCCCUCAUCUCUGACCUCUCCGGUAACGUUCUCACCGAGCUCCGACGGGACCUCUGGAACCACAACUAAAAUAAAAAAGCAAAUUGUAAAGCAGUGGUAGGACGUGAAAUGAAUGUAUUAGAUCAGGGGUGUCAAACUCGUUUAAACUUAGGGGCCACAUGGAGGAAAAUCUAUCCCCAAAUGGGCCUGACUGGCAAAAUCACGGCACGAUAACUUAAAAAUAAAGAAAACUUCAAAUGUUUUUCUUUGUUUAAAAAUAGACCAAGCACAUUCUGAAAAUGUACAAAUCAUAAUGUUGUUUUUUUCACUUACAUGUUGCAGUUAAUAUUAUUCUAUCUUCAUUUGUUGUUAUUUAUACUUUCUGAAUAAAUGAUGUAAUAAUGUUCAUCAGUCAAAUAGGUGGAAAAUAGUCUGGCAGAGUUUUAAAAUGCUCCCAUUGGUGUUAAUAUUUAAUCUGUCAGAAGAGGAAAUGAGUAAUAAUAUCAAACUCAAAUUAUGAUGUUAUUAAUGUAAUUUACUCAUGUACCUCAACUGAUGUACUAACAUCAUGUGGUUUAUUCUGACAUAUGUAGCUUCAUCUACAACAAAACUUGUGAAUUUGGAAUUUCAUUCAUCACACAUGAAGUUAAAAAGGGAUACAUAUUAUUUUCAGCAUAUUUAUGUGCACACAAAAAAUGUGUCCCCAGUCAUAAGGACAACACAAAAUGUACAGAUUAUCAAAAGCAUUUGUUUGUGUAUAAAUGUCACAGGUUACAUUUGCAACAACAUCUUUGACAAUAAUAUCAUGAUCGUGACAAGCCACAUUUUGUAUCAUUACUAUCACUAUCACUUUGUGUCCAUACACGGAAGUGUUGCCUAUACUUUAACACGGCACAUAGCACAUCUCGCCGGGCGGAUAAAACCUUUUUUUUGGGCCUGAUGAUGAGGCCCGCCGUCCUUACGUUUGACACCCCUGUAUUAGAUCAAUCGCCUAUCAUAGGGAUUCUCAAACUGUAGUGGCUGGCGGGCUCAAUCUAGUGGUGUACGCCAAAGAAUCACUUAAUUAAAUAUUCAAACACAGUAUUAUCCCAGGGCGUUCAAUUGAUCACAACUGGACUGUUUGGUUUGUCUUAGAACACGUUUCGCCUUUCAUCCGAGUAGGCUUCAUCAGUUGGUGCUCAAAGACUUUGAUUAGUCAGAUCUAGACUUAGGCUUAGGUAAGUUAGUUCUAGUCUAGCGGCUGGUGCCAAUACAUCAGUAGGCUUUAUCAGUUCAUGCUCAUAGACUUAAAUUGGUCAGAUCUAGUCUAUCGGCUUGUGCCAGAACCCCAAAUAUUUUUACUCCAAAACCAGGAGGGUGUGCUUGGUUAAGGAUGGUUUCACCCUAUUGUAGUGAGAAAAACAACUGCUCAGAUGAAAACAAAAGAAAUCUUGAAUGUCAAAGCCAAAGACAGUCGUUGAAGUGUAUUUUCCCCUUGUUAGCAUUGGGGUAAUUGUGUGGCAGAACGAUUGCUGUGGAUCGACUACUACCAGCCAAUAAUAGUCGGAAUCCCCCACGUUAGCAUUCCAUUCUGUCAGGACGUGGCCUGUGGAUUGUUCGUUUUCCCGAGAUGCAAGAAUCGUUGGAGUGGACAAGGCGUGAAGGUAAAGACAUGAUUUAUUUUUACACCAACAAAAGAAACAAAAGACGCGCACAAGGCGGAAGUACAAACUUGGCUAAGAAAACAACACUAGCACUUGGGCAAAAAACUAUGAACAUGAAAUAAAUAACACUUACUGUGACGUCAAAAAGCAUGAAAUCUAUGGCAUGUAAUACAAGCAUGAAUGACCAGGGUAACAGAGUUAACAGAGUUAAUGUCGCCAGGCCGACCAACAGAAAAUGACAAGCUUAAAUAACACAGACAUGAUUAACAACAGGUGCGUGAGGGAAAACGUGAAGCAGGUCGAACUAAUGGGUUGCUAUGGUGACCAAACAGGAACUAAAAAGAGUCCAAAAACCAAAACAGCAUAUGGCCAAACAAAACAUGAUCACAGACAUGACACAUUCAUUUGUAAAGAAAUGACACAAAUGGCAUUCUGGUCACAGAAGGUGACCGGAAUGUUUCUAACUCCUGUUAUUUGUUGGAGGCUAAAUCGCAGAGUCUUUUAGGAAUGGUUGAAAGGACAGUGUUGUGUGUGGUAGAUAAGUGGUGUCUCAGACAACCUCCUCAGUGUUACUGUUCAAACUGUGUGUAA